AACGAACGCUGGCGGCAGGCUUAACACAUGCAAGUCGAACGCCAGCGGACCUUCGGGUGCCGGCGAAUGGCGAACGGGUGAGUAAAGUAUCGGAACGUACCUUUCAGUGGGGGAUAACGUAGCGAAAGUUACGCUAAUACCGCAUAUUCUGUGAGCAGGAAAGCAGGGGAUCGCAAGACCUUGCGCUGAUUGAGCGGCCGAUAUCAGAUUAGCUAGUUGGUGAGGUAAAGGCUCACCAAGGCGACGAUCUGUAGCGGGUCUGAGAGGAUGAUCCGCCACACUGGAACUGAGACACGGUCCAGACUCCUCCUGGAGGCAGCAGUGGGGAAUUUUGGACAAUGGGGGCAACCCUGAUCCAGCCGUGCCGCGUGAGUGAAGAAGGCCUUCGGGUUGUAAAGCUCUUUCGGCCGGGAAGAAAUCGCGCCAGUUAAUACCUGGUGUGGAUGACGGUACCGGAAUAAGAAGCACCGGCUAACUACGUGCCAGCAGCCGCGGUAAUAC
rnacentral:rRNA from 1 species